UGACCUCGGAUCAGGUAGGACUACCCGCUGAACUUAAG
rnacentral:rRNA from 1 species